AACGAACGCUGGCGGCACGCCUUAAACAUGCAAGUCGAACGCCCCGCAAGGGGAGUGGCGCACGGGAGAGGCAUAUAUGGGAAUCUGCCUUGUAGUUUGGAACAACCUCGGGAAACUGUGGCUAAUACCAAAUACGUCCUACGGGAGAAAGAUUUAUCGCUAGUAGAAGAGCCCAUAUCGGAUUAGCUGGUUGGUGGGGUAAUGGCAUACAAAGGCGACGAUCAGUAGCUGGUUUGAGAGAAUGAUCCGCCUCACUGGGACUGAGACACGGCCCAGACGACUACGGGAGGCAGCAGUUGGGAAUAUUGGACAAUGGGGGAAACCCUGAUCCAGCGAUGCCGCGUGAGUGAUGAAGGACUUCGGGUUGUAAAGCUCUCUUGGCAGGGACGAUGAUGACGGUACCUGCAGAAUAAGCCCCGGCUAACUUCGUGCCAGCAGCCGCCGUAAAAC
rnacentral:rRNA from 1 species